rnacentral:rRNA from 1 species
GAACAACGCUGGCGGCGUGCCUAACGCAUGCAAGUCGGGCGGGUCACCCUUUCGGGGGUGGUCAGCGGCGGACGGGUGAGGAGCACGUGAUCGACCUGCCCGUGAGUGGGGGCCAACCCCGGGAAACCGGGGCUGUUACCGCAUGCGUCCGGCGGCCGGUGGGGCUGUCGGGGAAAGCCCUUCGGGGCGCUCAUGGAGGGGAUUGCGCCCGAUUAGCUAGUCGGCGGGGUGACGGCCCACCGAGGCGACGAUCGGUCGCUGGUCUGAGAGGACGACCAGCCACAGGGGGACUGAGACACGGCCCCCACACCUACGGGUGGCAGCAGCGAGGGAUUUUCGGCAAUGGGCGCAAGCCUGACCGAGCAACGCCGCGUGCGGGAUGACGCCCCUCGGGGUGUAAACCGCUUUUCCCCGGGGCGAAGAUGACGGUACCGGGGGAAUCAGCCUCGGCUAACUACGUGCCAGCAGCCGCAGUAACAC